rnacentral:rRNA from 1 species
ACAUGCAAGUCGAACGGAAAGGCCCUGCUUUUGUGGGGUGCUCGAGUGGCGAACGGGUGAGUAACACGUGAGUAACCUGCCCUUGACUUUGGGAUAACUUCAGGAAACUGGGGCUAAUACCGGAUAGGAGCUCCUGCUGCAUGGUGGGGGUUGGAAAGUUUCGGCGGUUGGGGAUGGACUCGCGGCUUAUCAGCUUGUUGGUGGGGUAGUGGCUUACCAAGGCUUUGACGGGUAGCCGGCCUGAGAGGGUGACCGGCCACAUUGGGACUGAGAUACGGCCCAGACUCCUACGGGAGGCAGCAGUGGGGAAUAUUGCACAAUGGGCGGAAGCCUGAUGCAGCAACGCCGCGUGCGGGAUGACGGCCUUCGGGUUGUAAACCGCUUUCGCCUGUGACGAAGCGUGAGUGACGGUAAUGGGUAAAGAAGCACCGGCUAACUACGUGCCAGCAGCCGCGGUGAUACGUAGGGUGCGAGCGUUGUCCGGAUUUAUUGGGCGUAAAGGGCUCGUAGGUGGUUGAUCGCGUCGGAAGUGUAAUCUUGGGGCUUAACCCUGAGCGUGCUUUCGAUACGGGUUGACUUGAGGAAGGUAGGGGAGAAUGGAAUUCCUGGUGGAGCGGUGGAAUGCGCAGAUAUCAGGAGGAACACCAGUGGCGAAGGCGGUUCUCUGGGCCUUUCCUGACGCUGAGGAGCGAAAGCGUGGGGAGCGAACAGGCUUAGAUACCCUGGUAGUCCACGCUGUAAACGGUGGGUACUAGGUGUGGGGUCCAUUCCACGGGUUCCGUGCCGUAGCUAACGCUUUAAGUACCCCGCCUGGGGAGUACGGCCGCAAGGCUAAAACUC